rnacentral:lncRNA from 1 species
CACGUCGUCCGUGCCGUGCCCCAGCUGGACUCCGCUAUUUCCGUGCGCACUCCGCUUUCUGCGUGCACACAUCUCCUGCGCCCACAAGCAGUGCCGCGCCUGCAUCCAUGCAGUGCCGCACCUGUUCCCGAGCUGUGCCACGCCCAUGCCCGAGUUGUGCUAUGCCCUGCCCGAGCAAUCACACCUACACCCACAAGCUGUGCCGCACCUGCGUCCAUGCAGUGCCGCGCCUGUGCCCGAGCUGUGCCACGCCCAUGCCCGAGUUG